AGUUUAUGGUGAGGACAUAUUCUAAGCAUAUCCCUCAUUCUCUCCUAGGCUUCAUAAAGUGGUUCUGACUCCAUCUGCAAAAAAUAAAAGAUUUCAUUCCUCAAUUU